rnacentral:rRNA from 1 species
GACGAACGCUGGCGGCAUGCCUAAUGCAUGCAAGUCGAGCGAACAGAUGAAGUGCUUGCACUUCUGACGUUAGCGGCGAACGGGUGAGUAACACGUAAGGAAUCUACCUAUAAGCGGGGGAUAACAUUCGGAAACGGGUGCUAAUACCGCAUAAUAUCUUCCUCCGCAUGGAAGAAGAUUGAAAGACGGCUCUGCUGUCACUUAUAGAUGACCUUGCGGUGCAUUGGUUAGUUGGUGGGGUAACGGCCUACCAAGACGAUGAUGCAUAGCCGACCUGAGAGGGUGAUCGGCCACAUUGGGACUGAGACACGGCCCAAACUCCUACGGGAGGCAGCAGUAGGGAAUCUUCCGCAAUGGGCGAAAGCCUGACGGAGCAAUGCCGCGUGAGUGAAGAAGGCCUUCGGGUCGUAAAACUCUGUUAUAAGAGAAGAACAAAUUGUAGAGUAACUGCUACAGUCUUGACGGUAUCUUAUCAGAAAGCCACGGCUAACUACGUGCCAGCCGCCGCGGUAA